rnacentral:sRNA from 1 species
GAAGGUUCUAGAAAAGCGGCGGCAGCGGCUCUAGCGGCAGUAGCAGCAGCGCCGGGUCCCGUGCGGAGGUGCUCCUCGCAGAGUUGUUUCUCGAGCAGCGGCAGUUCUCACUACAGCGCCAGGACGAGUCCGGUUCGUGUUCGUCCGCGGAGAUCUCUCUCAUCUCGCUCGGCUGCGGGAAAUCGGGCUGAAGCGACUGAGUCCGCGAUGGAGGUAACGGGUUUGAAAUCAAUGAGUUAUUGAAAAGGGCAUGGCGAGGCCGUUGGCGCCUCAGUGGAAGUCGGCCAGCCGCCUCCGUGGGAGAGAGGCAGGAAAUCCGACCGCUUCAGUAGCAGUGGGGCUUAAGGUUUACGAACGGGGUCUUGAGCGGAGGCCUGAGCGUACAAACAGCUUCCCCACCCUCAGCCUCCCGGCGCCAUUUCCCUUCACUGGGGGUGGGGGAUGGGGAGCUUUCACAUGGCGGACGCUGCCCCGCUGGAGUGAAAGUGGGGCGCGGAGGCGGGAAUUCUUAUUCCCUUUCUAAAGCACGCUGCUUCGGGGGCCACGGCGUCUCCUCGGCGAGCGUUUCGGCGGGCAGCGGGUCCUCGUGAGCGAGGCUGCGGAGCUUCCCCUCCCCCUCUUUCCCGGGAACCGGAUUUGGCGGCCGCCAUUUUCAUGGCUCGCCUUCCUCUCAGCGUUUCUCUUAUAACUCUCUUAUUUCCUUAGUGUGCUUUCUCUAUCAAGAAAUAGAAGCGGUUAACUAUUUUUCUUUCUUCUCGGGCUGUUUUCAUAUCGUUUCGAGGUGGAUUUGGAGUGUUUUGUGAGCUUGGAUCUUUAGAGUCCUGCGCACCUCAUUAAAGGCGCUCAGCCUUCCCCUCGAUGAAAUGGCGCCAUUGCGUUCGGAAGCCACACCGAAGAGCGGGGAGGGGGGGUGCUCCGGGUUUGCGGGCCCGGUUUCAGAGAAGAUCUCACCACCCAGGGCGUCGGGCCGGGUUCAAUGCGAGCCAUAGGACAAAGAAACCAUUUUAUGUUUUUCCUGUCUUUUUUUUCUUUGAGUAACGGUUUUAUCUGGGUCUGCAGUCGGUAAAACGGCAGAUGAACCGCAGCAAAAUAAACAUAAAUUGGAAGCCAUCGGCCACGAGGGGCAGGGACGAAGGUGGUUUUCUGGGCGGGGGAGGGAUAUUCGCGUCAGAAUCCUUUACUGUUCUCAAGGAUUCCGUUUAAGUUGUAGAGCUGACUCAUUUUAAGUAAUGUUGUUACUGAGAAGUUUAAUCCUUACGGGACAGAUCCAUGGACCUUUAUAGAUAAUUAGAUGAUUACGAGGAAAGUGAAAUAACGAUUUUGUCCUUAGUUAUACUUCGAUUAAAACAUGGCUUCAGAGGCUCCUUCCUGUAAUGCGUAUGGAUUGAUGUGCAAAACUGUUUUGGGCCUGGGCCGCUCUGUAUUUGAACUUUGUUACUUUUCUCAUUUUGUUUGCAAUCUUGGUUGAACAUUACAUUGAUAAGCGUAAGGUCUCAAGCGAAGGGGGUCUACCUGGUUAUUUUCUUUGACCCUAAGCACGUUUAUAAAAUAACAUUGUUUAAAAUCGAUAGUGGACAUCGGGUAAGUUUGGAUAAAUUGUGAGGUAAGUAAUGAGUUUUUGCUUUUUGUUAGUGAUUUGUAAGACUUGUUAUAAAUGUACAUUAUCCGUAAUUUCAGUUUAGAGACACCUAUGUGCUGACAAUUAAGAAUAAAAACUAGCUGAAAAAAUGAAAAUACCUGUCGUGACAAGUAACCAUUUCAAAAGACUGCUUUGUGUCUCACAGGAGCUAGUUUGAUCAUUUCAGUUAAUUUUUUCUUUAAUUUUUACGAGUCAUGAAAACUACAGGAAAAAAAUCUGAACUGGCUUUUACCACUACUUUUUAGGAGUUGGGAGCAUGCGAAUGGAGGGAGAGCUCCGUAGAACUGGGAUGAGAGCAGCAAUUAAUGCUGCUUGCUAGGAACAAAAAAUAAUUGAAAAUUACGUGUGACUUUUUAGUUUGCAUUAUGCGUUUGUAGCAGUUGGUCCUGGAUAUCACUUCCUCUCGUUUGAGGUUUUUUAACCUAGUUAACUUUUAAGACAGGUUUCCUUAACAUUCUUAAGUGCCCAAAAUACAGCUGUGUAGUACAGCAUAUAAAGAUUUCAGCUCUGAGGUUUUUCCUAUUGACUUGGAAAAUUGUUUUGUGCCUGUCGCUUGCCACAUGGCCAAUCAAGUAAGCUUCAGCUUUCAGUAAUUAUUAUCUUAGAGAUUAUGCCACGUGAAUAUUUUAUUGUACAUAUGGUUAAGCUGAGUAAUUCAUAUUCUGUAUUGUCAUAUAUCAAAUAUAGACAUGUCCACCAAAAAUUAGUUAAACUUUUUAAGCUUCGAGUGCUGCUGGUCAUAAAAAUUAAUUUGUCCUGGUUAUAAGAGUAAUUUUUAAGGUUAUUUCUAAUGCAUAUCUUUAAAUACUUUCGUAACUGAGAGUCAUAUGGAGAAACUUAGUGUUUGUUGUAAAAAGUUUUGUUUUUUUGGCUGAGAUACUUAGAAUCACCACCAGAGGGGGCAGUUAAGGGAAAAUAAAUGAUACUUUUCAGAUACUGAAUCGUGAAAUAAAAACUUUGGGUCAUAAGUAACGAACCAAGAGUUAUUUUCUGAUGUUUAAAAAUAGAAAUCUGCGUUUUUAGGUUGUAGGGUUGAAAUUUUUGGUAAAGAUUCUUUAAUAAUCCUUUGAUAAUCACGGUCUACAUUUGUUUAUUUUUCCUUAGAAAGUUUUUUUUUAAUUAAUAAUUUGGUUAAGAUAAUUUAAUGUUGAGUAAAUUUAGAUCAAGCAUUAAUGACUUUGAAACUUGUGUAGAUCAGCUGAGGCAAUUUUUUUGGUGUAACACAACUAAUAUGCAGUUUAACAUAUGGUUUAAAUUUGAUGUAAGUUUUUUUUUUCCCCCCCAGAAAACUUUAGAAACUGUUCCUUUGGAGAGGAAAAAGGUACUCUGCCAGCAGGUCACCUCAUAUUUAAGAAUUUAAUUUCCUGCAUACAAAGAGGAAAAUGUAAAUAAAAAUUGAAAUGGUAUUUUCCUUUGCAGAGAGAAAAGGAACAGUUCCGUAAGCUCUUUAUUGGUGGCUUAAGCUUUGAAACCACAGAAGAAAGUUUGAGGAACUACUACGAACAAUGGGGAAAGCUUACAGACUGUGUGGUAAUGAGGGAUCCUGCAAGCAAAAGAUCAAGAGGAUUUGGUUUUGUAACUUUUUCAUCCAUGGCUGAGGUUGAUGCUGCCAUGGCUGCAAGACCUCAUUCAAUUGAUGGGAGAGUAGUUGAGCCAAAACGUGCUGUAGCAAGAGAGGAAUCUGGAAAACCAGGGGCUCAUGUAACUGUGAAGAAGCUGUUUGUUGGCGGAAUUAAAGAAGAUACUGAGGAACAUCACCUUAGAGAUUACUUUGAGGAAUAUGGAAAAAUUGAUACCAUUGAGAUAAUUACUGAUAGGCAGUCUGGAAAGAAAAGAGGCUUUGGCUUUGUUACUUUUGAUGACCAUGAUCCUGUGGAUAAAAUCGUAUUGCAGAAAUACCAUACCAUCAAUGGUCAUAAUGCAGAAGUAAGAAAGGCUUUGUCUAGACAAGAAAUGCAGGAAGUUCAGAGUUCUAGGAGUGGAAGAGGAGGUAAUUUUAAUUCUGUUUCUUCUUUAUUUUUGUUCAUAUAUAAGGGCUUGCUUCUAACUGGGGCAUUUAUUGUAGGCAACUUCGGCUUUGGGGAUUCACGUGGUGGCGGUGGAAAUUUCGGACCAGGACCAGGAAGUAACUUUAGAGGAGGAUCUGAUGGAUAUGGCAGUGGACGUGGAUUUGGGGAUGGCUAUAAUGGGUAUGGAGGAGGACCUGGAGGUGGCAAUUUUGGAGGUAGCCCCGGUUAUGGAGGAGGAAGAGGAGGAUAUGGUGGUGGAGGACCUGGAUAUGGCAACCAGGGUGGGGGCUACGGAGGUGGUUAUGACAACUAUGGAGGAGGAAAUUAUGGAAGUGGAAAUUACAAUGAUUUUGGAAAUUAUAACCAGCAACCUUCUAACUACGGUCCAAUGAAGAGUGGAAACUUUGGUGGUAGCAGGAACAUGGGGGGACCAUAUGGUGGAGGAAACUAUGGUCCAGGAGGCAGUGGAGGAAGUGGGGGUUAUGGUGGGAGGAGCCGAUACUGAGCUUCUUCCUAUUUGCCAUGGGUAAGUAGCUUUUGAGUUUUACAAUUAUUAUUAUCUUGGGAGACAUAGCUGCAGGAGUAAAAGCUUUUUAGGAUCAUGUUAUCUUUCCUUAAAAUCUGGUUAGAUGGAUAAUUUCAUAACCUAUUUUUUUUUUACUCUUUACUUCUGUUGAAACAGGCUUCACUGUAUAAAUAGGAGAGGAUGAGAGCCCAGAGGUAACAGAACAGCUUCAGGUUAUCGAAAUAACAAUGUUAAGGAAACUCUUAUCUCAGUCAUGCAUAAAUAUGCAGUGAUAUGGCAGAAGACACCAGAGCAGAUGCAGAGAGCCAUUUUGUGAAUGGAUUGGAUUAUUUAAUAACAUUACCUUACUGUGGAGGAAGGAUUGUAAAAAAAAAAAUGCCUUUGAGACAGUUUCUUAGCUUUUUAAUUGUUGUUUCUUUCUAGUGGUCUUUGUAAGAGUGUAGAAGCAUUCCUUCUUUGAUAAUGUUAAAUUUGUAAGUUUCAGGUGACAUGUGAAACCUUUUUUAAGAUUUUUCUCAAAGUUUUGAAAAGCUAUUAGCCAGGAUCAUGGUGUAAUAAGACAUAACGUUUUUCCUUUAAAAAAUUUAAGUGCGUGUGUAGAGUUAAGAAGCUGUUGUACAUUUAUGAUUUAAUAAAAUAAUUCUAAAGGAAAUUGUGUAAUUAUAGACUUUUUAUUUUAAAUAAGUUAAGGAGUGGGUAGUAUAAUUAAGGUCCGUUGCAAAGCUGUUGUUAUAUUUGUAUAAGAUAAAUGCUGGUCAGAUGUAAGUGUGUUGUCUGCAAUUCAUCAGGAUUAAAUUAUGUAGAUAACUUAAGGGAUAUCUCUGCAAGGAGAAACACCUUUUUAGAUCUUUUAGAUGCUGCUUCUUCAAUGCAAGGAAAGGAAAUAACCCCAGCGAGGUACUCUUCAGGGACACAGGUCUAGUACAAGAGAACUCUUGACGGCUACUAAGUUCAGCCAGUCUUAAAAAACUGUGCUGUUUCUACAAAACUUUAACUACAGUAGUUUAUAAGGAUGCCAACGAAAGCUGAGGGUGUAGAGCAAAAUAGUUCUAAGCUUCAGUUAAACUUCUUUAGGUAAGAUCUUAUUUACUUUUCCUUUCUUAAUUUUCCUCCCUAAAAGAUAAACUAAUACUCUUAAAUGGUCUUUCAGUAUAGUGGUUCUUACGUAGUUUAACAUAGCUAUAAAUUGAGUUUAACAAUUUAUAAACUCAAGAGAAUAAUUUUUAUAAACCCUGUUUUCCAAUCUGUCAUUUACUUAAAUUAUUUUGGUUGUUUUUCCCCUUUUUUCCUUCUUUUCCCACCCCCUCCCCCUCCGUGUGAAGAUUUGGGUGCUUAACAUAUCAUUUUUUUCCCUGCCGGAAUUUUAGCAUUGAUAUGAACCAUGGACAAGUAUAUUCUGCUGCCACAAAGACUGUAAAGUGCUUCAUUUCAACAGCUGAGGCAAGCCAAGUGAUCAUUAAUAAAGCUUUUCUUGGUUCCUUCAGUGGUGUUGGUAGUAAAAUGGUAGGUAAAAGUUAGGCUGCAAGUUCAAUAAAUCAUGAGAUUUCCCAUCGUUACACCCUUGUGUAUUCACAUUUCUUGGAUCAAACAUUUUGAGUGAACUAGGGGUUUUUAUUAAAGACAUUUGUUGUUGUAUUUAUGGUUGUAACUGUACAUGCUUAUCAGGAUGAGACUGAAAGAAGGUAGGGCAAAAAUGGUUGAAUCUAUUUUCAGAUAGUAGUUCAUACUUGAGUGAAGUGUCUUGUCUACAUUAUGAAGCCUGGUAUGUAUCCAGUACUAAAUAGGUGGGUUAAAUGUGGUAAUUCUAGUUCAGUGUCUUACCCUGAAGAGAAAGUUGUAGGUUGGCUGUUGAAAUUCAUUCCUUAGAUAUGAUGAGUUUGAUUGCCCGGCUUUAUUGCCUUUACAGGAAUGUGAUACUCAGGGCUUACUCUAUACACCAAUGAGUCUUCUUUGAUCCUAAGACCACCACUGAAGUUGUUUAGGUUCUUUUGGACAAACAUGAUAAACUUCUUCAGAUACUUUUUUUUUCCUUUGGCAGGAAGGUGUCUUGCUGCAGGUAACUAAUGAAGAAGUGGUCAACCACAGAGUCUUCAAGAAAUAAGAAAUUCUGUACCAUCUGAAAGUAGUUCUUGUUGGUGCCUUCAUUUAAAAAGCACUCUUUAAAAUAAAAGGGAAAUGUUUUCUGAUAAAACAAA